GCAGACACAUUCCAGCCAAUCAGCAGCAGACCCUCCCUCCCAGACCCUCCCACCUCCUGGACAGCAUCACUAAGAAGCUGCAUUCUUAGUGAGCUGUCCAGGAGGUGGGAGGGUCUGGGAGGGAGGGUCUGCUGCUGAUUGGCUGGAAUGUGUCUG